GCGAACGGGUGAGUAAUGUAUCGGAACGUGCCUAGUAGCGGGGGAUAACUACGCGAAAGCGUAGCUAAUACCGCAUACGCCCUACGGGGGAAAGCAGGGGAUCGCAAGACCUUGCACUAUUAGAGCGGCCGAUAUCGGAUUAGCUAGUUGGUGGGGUAACGGCUCACCAAGGCGACGAUCCGUAGCUGGUUUGAGAGGACGACCAGCCACACUGGGACUGAAACACGGCCCAAACUCCUACGGGAGGCAGCAGUGGGGAAUUUUGGACAAUGGGGGAAACCCUGAUCCAGCCAUCCCGCGUGUGCGAUGAAGGCCUUCGGGUUGUAAAGCACUUUUGGCAGGAAAGAAACGUUCCGGGUUAAUACCCCGGGAAACUGACGGUACCUGCAAAAUAAGCACCGGCUAACUACGUGCCAGCAGCCGCGGUAAUACGUAGGGUGCAAGCGUUAAUCGGAAUUACUGGGCGUAAAGCGUGCGCAGGCGGUUCGGAAAGAAAGAUGUGAAAUCCCAGAGCUUAACUUUGGAACUGCAUUUUUAACUACCGAGCUAGAGUGUGUCAGAGGGAGGUGGAAUUCCGCGUGUAGCAGUGAAAUGCGUAA
rnacentral:rRNA from 1 species